ACAAGACAAUAUUACAAAACAACAAUGUACAACCACGAAACGAACAAGGAGAAGUAAAUCAGAUAAGAAAGAAAGGGGAAAAGGGAAAAAAGGAAGAAGAAGAAGCAGGACAAAUCAUGACCGAAAAAAGGUAGUUAUACUGUUAAUUUUGGGAAGGUAAGAUCAUAAGACCAAAUAAAUAUUAAAUUAAUCGAGCAGAUGAUGAAGAACUAAAUGAAAAAUUAAGAUGAUUACCAACCGUUAUCAGAUUAUUCUUCUAUAUUACUAUAAGAUUUGAGCAAAAAUGUUUUUUCGAUUUUUCUUGAAAAUAUUUAGGGAUAGACUAUUUUUAAUACCUUCACUUAGAGAAUUCCAAAAUCUAGGACCAUCAUACAUAAAAGACUUCUUCGCUAAUAAAGUUCUAAAGAGUGGUAGGUGGAACUCGUUUGACCGUCUAGUUGGGUAAUCAUGAAAUGAUCGAUUUAGGGGGAACAUGGCAUCAAAUAUAUGUGGAAGGGUCUUUUUUGAAUACUUAUACAUAAAUUGUCCUAAGUGAAGUAGAUACAGGUCAUUUGUUUUGAAUAGUCUGCCAUUAACAAAUAACGGGUCUGUGUGUGAGAGUGGAGCAGAAUGGUAAAUAAUACGGUGAGACUUCUUUUGUAAUAAUAACAGUCUAUUUAGUGGAGUUUGCUGCGUGUUGCCCCAAGCAAGUAUCCCAUAAUUCAGAAAUGGUAAAAUUAAAGACAAGAGAGAAAGAGUACUUAAAGCGUACCAUAUCACACACAAACAAAAUUUGCUCUGUAUGCUCAGGUUUCCAUGGAACUUUUCUGUAUUCAAAAUAUGUGCUUCAAAUAGUACUUGUGGAAAGACUCUCAAUUAACAAAGAAGCAACUACUCCAAGCACUCAUACAAAAUCACUUAGAAAGGGCAUUUUGCAUGGAUUUUUACAAACUCAUAACUUUCUCUUUGUUUGACCGAUCUUAUUUUCAUGCUCCAAUCAAAUGUUGGAAAGGUUGGAUUGCACAUGGAAGAGUAACUUGAACAAAAGACUUCUAAUAAAGGUAAUUAACAUACCACUAAGAUGGCUACAACUAGACCAAUGAUGCUGCCAGCAAAGACAUCGCUCCAGUGAUGCUUGUAGUCCGAUACUCUAGAGAGACCAACCAAGAUGACCGCCAGGCACCGGCUAACUACAGGAAAGGCCUGAGCAGGGUAUCUCCAAAUACUUCUGGUAUCAUUCGUGCUUGAAGAUAAAUCUGAAAUGUUAUCUUGCUCCUGUCCUGACUGCACAGUAUAAAGAUUGUCAAUUUCUUUGGAAGGUCUUUCUGAGCAUCAUAAGAUUCACACUACCGUAUAUCAGAGGAUUUGAAGUCAAAGACUUGAACACAUUAUAAUUCAAGUGAAUUUAAGUUAUCUUGCUCCUGUCCUGACUGCACAGUAUAAAGAUUGUCAAUUUCUUUGGAAGGUCUUUCUGAGCAUCACAAGAUUCACACUACCGUAUAUCAGAGGAUUUGAAGUCAAAGACUUGAACACAUUAUAAUCCAACUGGAUUUAAGUUAUCUUGCUCCUGUCCUGACUGCACAGUAUAAAGAUUGUCAAUUUCUUUGGAAGGUCUUUCUGAGCAUCACAAGAUUCACACUACCGUAUAUCAGAGGAUUUGAAGUCAAAGACUUGAACACAUUAUAAUCCAACUGGAUUUAAGUUAUCUUGCUCCUGUCCUGACUGCACAGUAUAAAGAUUGUCAAUUUCUUUGGAAGGUCUUUCUGAGCAUCACAAGAUUCACACUACCGUAUAUCAGAGGAUUUGAAGUCAAAGACUUGAACACAUUAUAAUCCAACUGAAUUUAAGUUAUCUUGCUCCUGUCCUGACUGCACAGUAUAAAGAUUGUCAAUUUCUUUGGAAGGUCUUUCUGAGCAUCACAAGAUUCACACUACCGUAUAUCAGAGGAUUUGAAGUCAAAGACUUGAACACAUUAUAAUCCAACUGGAUUUAAGCGAUAUGGCACAUGGGGAAGCAUACUUUGAUCCAGAGAUACACUGCAUUUCUCUGUACAAUCGAAAGUUAGAUCACAGAUUACCAACAUCCCCGAUGGACUAUUGCCUGGUGAUGAUUUUUGCAACACAGAACAGUACUAUCGCUAGAAGUACAAUACGAUCAAAGCUGAACGCAGAACUGACAAGGUAUGAUCCUUACCUUGAAUUCUCCAUUCGUUUAGGGAGGGGAAAUGUGGGAAAGCACAAGAAAUUGGUCAUGGAAAAGUUAGGACAUAAAGUUACUCUAGAUCAGCUCGGGUAUUAUGCCAGUGCGGUAACUAAAGGAAAAACUCAGUGGGUUUGGGCUAAUAUAGAUAGAUUAGAUUACUGGAAAAGGAAAUCAAGGCAUGGAUAUGAUGUAAUAGAUGUCCUCAGAGAUAUAGUGCAUGACAAGCCUGAAUGGAGAUAGGGAGACUUGGUAGAGGAAGGAAAUUUAGGUCAAAGACAUCCCUAUUAUGUACACCGGUAUACCAUAAUUCUUUAGAUACCACACAAGUAGUUGCCCUGUGCCACAUUACAUUUUUCAUGGGAUAGAUAUAGCAACUGCUCACAAGAUUAAUACCUGUUUCUCGAGCAAGAUAAAUACUGCUGUUAAGAGGGUUUUGAUGGAACUAAUCAAGACUGGCAAAUGGGGAAUUUUACAAAGCCAUUGGGUUCCACAAAGCAAUACUUGCACAUGUGGCAAAGAAACGACUGUGUAGAGGGGUGAAUAUAGCAAACGAAGCUGUAGAGAGGGACAAUUGAUGAGAUAUUUGCCUAACUAAACCUAAGCAUGAUACAUACACUAGGUAUCUAUCUGUAUCAACAAAACCUUUUCAUUGUCAAAAAUUCAGGUGAUUGAUGGACUGAAAAUACUUUGAGUGUCUU